CCGAAGAAAGAGGGCUAUAGUGGUGCUGAAUGGCAAUGAUAUCGACGUGAAGAAAAUCGAAUGAAAAGCCGGUGGAGGACCUUUGGACGAAACUUGAUUCUGAAAAAAUUGUACGAUUCGUUCGAAAUAGAUGGAGAUAGAGAACGAGGAGGAGGAUGAGAAAGAGGAAGAGAAGAGGGACAUCGUCGUCGUCGUCGACGCGUAGAACACGUAGGAUGAUUGCCAAAAGCGGCGCUUGGCAGGACAGGGGAACAUGUCACACGAUCCGACAUCAGAAAGAAAGGUAGAAGGAAAGAAAGAAAGAAGGAAAGAAAGAAGGAAAGGGUGGAAGGAAGGAAGGAAGAAACGAUGAGCUGCCGGAACGAUAAAAAUCCUACCCCCGUGCACCAACUGUAAAAUUUUAUGGUCGCGAGAAAUAAAGAUGCUAUCGCAAGCGCUGAAACACAGGGACCCCCCGUUAUCGGUACUCCGCGAAGGAGGAUACUCCAAGGGGUGAGGUGGGCCAAAGGGAGAACUUUAAUAUUUGCCAGGUUACGGAUUUCUGACAAACAAACGAGAAAGAGAGAACUAAAGAGAGAGUGAGAGAGAGAGAGAGAGAGAGAGAGAGAGACAGAGAACCACUCAAUGCUUCGAGGUAAACCGUUCGGUGACGAUAAGCGAAAAGGAAAAGGGAGAAGUAAUGGUAAAGGGAGGAGGAGGAGAAGGAGGAGGAGAAGGAGGAGGAAGAGGAAAGCCAACGAUACUGGGACUCGACAAAUAAAAUCUGAACAACCUGCUGCUCCGUUGUUUACCAAAGGAUACCUGCCUGACAUUAACGGCACGGGACGAAGGGGGUGAAACACGGAGAAGACCAAAUAUGCUGCGAUAACGAAACGAGUCUCUCUCUCUCUCUCUCUCUCUCUCUCUCUCGCUCUCUCUUCUCUGUCAGA